rnacentral:rRNA from 1 species
GACGAACGCUGGCGGCGUGCUUAACACAUGCAAGUCGAACGGAAAGGCCCUGCUUUUGUGGGGUGCUCGAGUGGCGAACGGGUGAGUAACACGUGAGUAACCUGCCCUUGACUUUGGGAUAACUUCAGGAAACUGGGGCUAAUACCGGAUAUGAGCUCCUGCUGCAUGGUGUUGGUUGGAAAGUUUCGGCGGUUGUGGAUGGACUCGCGGCUUAUCAGCUUGUUGGUGGGGUAGUGGCUUACCAAGGCUUUGACGGGUAGCCGGCCUGAGAGGGUGAACGGCCACAUUGGGACUGAGAUACGGACCAGACUCCUACGGGAGGCAGCAGUGGGGAAUAUUGCACAAUGGGCGGACGCCUGAUGCAGCAACGCCGCGUGCGGGAUGACGGCCUUCGGGUUGUAAACCGCUUUCGCAUGUGACGAAGAGUGAGUGACGGUAAUGGGUAAAGAAGCACCGGCUAACUACGUG